rnacentral:rRNA from 1 species
CCGGCGACCGGCGCACGGGUGAGUAACACGUAUGCAACCUGGCCGUCACAGGUGGAUAACCGGAAGAAAUUCCGACUAAUACAGCAUAACACUCCUGAGGGACGGGAUCCUUCGGGAGUCAAAGGAGGCAACUCCGGUGACGGAUGGGCAUGCGGCGCAUUAGGUAGUUGGUAGGGUAACGGCCUACCAAGCCGACGAUGCGUAGGGGUUCUGAGAGGAAGGUCCCCCACAUUGGAACUGAGACACGGUCCAAACUCCUACGGAAGGCAGCAG